GGUAACAACAUAUCUCAUACACAAGUAGGAUCUACUUCCAAAAGCGUAACAACACCAGUGUACGUGUGUAACGACUUUUGACCAAUCAUCGUGUUUGUGUAUGUUUACGUCAAGUAUAUUAGUAUGAUGAACAGAGUGUAGAGACGUCUUUUUUUCUCGGUAACUUGUGUUACAGUGCCUGAAAGUGCAAUACCGAGGUAGAGAAAUUUUGCUGAAUUUCGUACUUUGUGCCUAUAGUAUUCUGAUUCUAUAUUAUACUACAAAAUUUCUUUCAGUGUAUCUUUAUCGGUUGUUUGUGUUAGCGGUCUAUUUUCAGAAGAACUGACUUCGACCUUGAAGUUGCAAUCGUCGUAACCCACGACGGUUAAUACAAAAUUUUUUUGGCCAAAAGUUGUGUAGUAACAGUAGUCCUACUGCUCAAAUUGCUUUCAGCAAACAUGUUCAUGCAUCCAGAACUUUUGCAUGUUCAGACUUAUAAGAAUGACCGUAGUUGGGAUUUUUUUACUGUCAGUUUUACGGGUAGUUAUGAAUUAAAGUGACAGAAUGCAGGCUUUUGAACAGUACAACCUGUUUUUGCAUUGGAUGUUUCUGACUUUGUGAAAUGGAAAGCCAAAGAAGAGAAGACAGAAGUAGCAUUGUAACUUAUGGGUGUGCCUAGCCUGCGAUAGGUUGCACUAAAACCACGUAUAUGUGUCAUAGAUCUGCGAUAUUCAAGUCUCAAUCAAAAGGCGAGAGGCUGCUGAAGUCGCAAGAAAAUAACAAGAUGGGAAGCGAUCGCACUGCUGCCAUGAACAUCAGCCAAAAUAAAAAGAGGUAUUUUACUAUUGUUUAUUUCAAGACACAUUUUAGCCACAAACGGAAUGAAUAUUGUUUCUGUGCACCUAACCAGAUAUUAAAAGGAGUUCAUUGCUGGUGAUAUUGACUUGUGAGAAGAAUGGCUGAUGAAGCCAAUUACAUCCUGGAACAAUGAAUUGUUAACGGAUUUCAUGAACAACUGCACCCUGGGAAAAAGUUGCUUCGCAAGCCAUCACGGGAUAUUAACAUCCCAUUAACGAGUUUACGACGACAUAUGCAAACAGAUUUCAACCUCCAUUAUACACACCAUGAACCAUGAGUCUACAGUUUUAACUUCAGUUCAACAAUGAAUUAAGAACUCAACAUUUCCAUUUGUCCCUUUUUCUACCUUCUCCUCCUUCCUUAACGACUCACUGGCAACAAUUGCAGUCGUUAUUGUCUGAAGCAGCAAACUGAGGUGCAGGUUGCCAAUCCACGCGCAUGCAAUCUUGUGAAUGUAUUCUGUCAUCAGCUCUUCUGUACAUAGUGUAUUGCAGAAGAGUGGUGGAUGAUAAGCAGUUUUUGAAAUGGCUGGAUGAAGAGUUUGCUAACGAAGAUUGUAGUGAUGCAGAGUCAAUCUUUGAAACUGAUCACAAUUCUGAAAGUGAGCAGUUUCUGGACAUAAAUGACAUUAUCGAUAAAUUUGACUCGCAUGUUGGGAAAGGUGGUAUGCAGGGCAGUCAUCGACGUCUGAUUCAAAACAGGUAUAUAUGCCAGCUUUGUUGUACUUCCAGAAGCUAGAAUUUCUAGGCAAGCAUUAUACAGGGGGUUACAAAAAGGUACAGCCAAACUUUCAGGAAACAUUCCUCACACACAAAUAAAGAAAAGAUGUUACGUGGACAUGUGUCCGGAAACGCUUAAUUUCCAUGUUAGAGCUCAUUUUAGUUUCGUCAGUAUGUACUGUACUUCCUCGAUUCACCGCCAGUUGGCCCAAUUGAAGGAAAGAAAUGUUGACUUCGGUGCUUGUGUUGACAUGCGACUCAUUGCUCUACAGUACUAGCAUCAAGAACAUCAGUACGUAGCAUCAACAGGUUAGUGUUCAUCAUGAACGUGGUUUUGCAGUCAGUGCAAUGUUUACAAAUGCGGAGUUGGCAGAUGCCCAUUUGAUGUAUGGAUUAGCAUGGGGCAAUAUCCGUGGCGCGGUACGUUUGUAUCGAGACAGAUUUCCAGAACGAAGGUGUCCCGACAGGAAGACGUUCGAAGCAACUGAUCGGCGUCUUAGGGAGCACGGAACAUUCGAGCCUAUGAUUCGCGUCUGGGGAAGACCUAGAACGACGAGGACACCUGCAAUGGAUGAGGCAAUUCUUCGUGCAGUUGACGAUAACCCUAAUGUCAGCGUCAGAGAAGUUUCUGCUGUACAAGGCAACGUUGACCAUGUUGCUGUAUGGAGAGUGCUACGGGAGAACCAGUUGUUUCCGUACCAUGUACAGCGUGUGCAGGCACUAUCAGCAGCUGAUUGGCCUCCACGGGUACACUUCUGUGAAUGGUUCAUCCAUCAAUGUGUCAGUCCUCAUUUCAGUGCAAAUGUUCUCUUUACGGAUGAGGCUUCAUUCCAAGGUGAUCAAAUUGUAAAUUUUCACAAUCAACAUGUGUAGGCUACUGAGAAUCCGCACGCGAUUGUGCAAUCACAUCAUCAACACAGAUUUUCUGUGAACGUUUGGGCAGGCAUUGUUGGUAAUGUCUUGAUUGGGCCCCAUGUUCUUCCACCUACGCUCAAUGGUGCACGUUAUCAUGUUUUCAUACAGGAUACUCUACUUGUGCUGCUAGAACAUGUGCCUUUACAAGUACGACACAACAUGUGGUUCAUGCACGAUGGAGCUCCUGCACAUUUCAGUCGAAGUGUUGUUACGCUUCUCAACAACAGAUUCGGUGACCGAUGGAUUGGUAGAGGCGGACCAAUUCCAUGGCUUCCACACUCUCCUGACCUCAACCCUCAUGACUUUCAUUUAUGGGGGCAUUUGAGAGCUCUUGUCUACGCAGCCCCGGUGCCAAAUGUAGAGACUCCUCGUGCUUGUAUUGUGGACGGCUGUGAUACAAUACGCCAUUCUCGAGGGCUGCAUCAGGGAUUCCAUGUGACGGAGGGUGGAUGCAUGUAUCCUCGCUAAUGGAGGACGUUUUGAACAUUUCCUGUAACAAAGUGUUUGAAGUCACGCUGGUACGUUCUGUUGCUGUAUGUUUCCAUUCCAUGAUUAAUGUGAUUUGAAGAGAAGUAAUAAAAUGAGCUCUAACAUGGAAAGUAAGCAUUCCCAGACACAUGUCCACAUAACAUAUUUUCUUUCGUUGUGUGCGAGGAAUGUUUCCUGAAAGUUUGGCCAUACCUUUUUGUAACACCCUGUAUACCAUGUAAUAGUGUGACAAUACCAUUAUCAUCAUUUUGACCAUCAAUGGAUCACAGUUACAGUUUUCAGAUGAAAGCUCAAAUGAGAAUGAUGCUGUGGGACCUUCCACAGGUAGUGGAAUACAUAUCACAGAGCAGAGUGAUACAGACUUUGCAGAAGAAACAGACUUGGUAGUUGAAGAACCGUCACAAGCAACAACAUUGAGUGCAAACAGAGAGUACUACAUCAAGAUAUGCUGCACCAAGGAAAAGAAAGUGAAGUGAAAAAGGGAGCUAUUAAAGUGCCCUUCAGUUGAUUGCUGAAAGAGUGCAGUCCAAUACUAAUGUUGAUGCAGAUACAUUUGUUAAAGAUUUGGGUGUAGAAAUGAAAGCCAUUAAAAGCCAUGAAAUGAGGAUGAUGAUUAACCGCAAAUACUAAAACUUGUGUAUGAUGCUGUAGUCAGUCAAUAAA